CUCACUUCUCCACUUCUCCAUGAGUGUUUUCCCUGCAGUUCAUUUCUCAUCCUCCCUGCUGACGUCUGACUUCCGCAUUCCUCGCUCUUCCCGAUCAGGGAUCAGCGCUCGCGACUCGAGCUGAUGCAACGAUUCCCGCUCUUCAAGAUCUACUCGCGACCUCCAGCUGACGUCACAAAGGGACUCCACUCGCUCACCCCGAGACCGAAGUCAGUGUGUUUGUGUCCUCCAGCUGUGGUCAGGGGUGUUGAUGACGUGAUGCCCGGACAGAUCCCGGACCCCUCGGGGACGGCGGGCGCUCUGCCCAGUCUGGGCCCUCUGGUGGGCAUCUCUGCCACCACACUCACCCAACACCUGAAGUACGCCGACCUCUACAACCUCGGGGCCAUGCUGUCGCCUCUACAUCUACUGGGGAAACUGGGCAAGCGGCCGCACACCAUUAAAGCAGAGAAAGAUGAAGAGGAAGACCGGAGGAAAAGAAGGCGAGAGAAAAACAAAGUGGCAGCAGCAAGAUGUCGAAACAAAAAGAAAGAGAGAACGGAGUAUCUCCAAAGGGAAUCUGAACGCCUAGAGAUGAUGAACUCGGAGCUGAAGUCACAGAUCGAGGAGCUGAAGCACGAACGACAGCAGCUCAUACUGAUGCUCAAUCGCCAUCGGCCCACAUGCAUCGUGAGGACAGACAGCAUCAAGAGCCCUGAGAAAGAGGCCGAAUGAGAAGGAUCACACAUUCCCAUGUUACUGUUUACAGGUUAGCUCUUCUGCUAGCUGAAGCACUUGGCUCAAAGCACUUGGACAUUUUAAGGAAGAGAAAAUGGCAUUCGUUCUCUGACCUUCGAGGUUGGUGAGGUGCGACUAAACAAAGCAACAAGAGAAACACAUCGAUGGCCUCAGUAUUGGGCUGUGUGUUAGUUACGAAACUUUUAUGGGAUUGUUUUUCUCCUGUAAAACUUUUUUUUGUCAUAAAGUGCCUUGUUUGUUUUGGUCAGUUUAGGAAAGAGUUGUGUAAAGUUUGUUAUGACUUCAUGAAAACACUCAUCGCACGCCAUGUAAACUGGACGAUUCUUCAUGGACUAUCCCACCGUUUGCUGCCUUCAGUUGGGUUUUUUGUUUUUCUGACGCAGGCGUCAUGUAUGCACAUAUGUAUGAACUGUUUACAUCUUGCCAAUUUAUUAUAGUUAUCUACUAUAUAUAUAUGAUUUUUAUACUUCCUGUACAUGGACUUAUCACUAGACGUGAUACAUUUUAUGCAACAAACAAUUUCAUAACCUCUAUUUCUGUGACUUAUUCAAUUUGUUGUACAGCUGUGAAAACUGCAAGCAAUUAUUAAACAAGUGUUUUCCAAAUGUU